AAGGUAGUGGGGUGGUGUUGCUUUUCUUUUGCUUUAAAGCAAAUAAGUAAACUGACUGUCAUCACGGGGCUAUGGAAAAUCAUAAACAGCGAUCACAUUGCUUAGGCUUGAAUUAUUUGGGUAAGAAAUCAAUCAAAAAACUUAUAACACCAGAAAUCAACCCAAGGAUCCCAAGCAUUCGACCAGAGCUGGAAACAGCCUCUCCCAAGAGUCAGGGAUAUGUGCCCUGUCCCCUGCCCCGCAGAAGCUCAUCCUCCUGACAGGCGAACACCUUCCGCUCAUCCCUCAGUCCCUUCCCGGUGUCCCCGCGCUACGGCCGCGCUCCUCACGUACCGCCUAAACACCCUACACAGUCACGACAUCCUGUCACAACAGCUCAGCAGCUCCAGGCGGCAUCAACCCUCCGGUACGAGCAGGAAAACGGGAUGACGUGCGGAACACCGGCCCUUGCCUUCGAACCUCUGGCCUACGCCAGAUCAGGAGUGCCAAGUCCCGUCACUCCUUAAAACAACUCCAGGGACGGGAACUUCACCACCACCUCCCUGGGCAGUCACAUAAUCCCAAAACGGAACGGACCACAGUGGGCCACCAACGGUCCAGCAGGGCCAUCCCAGACCACAUGGCACAGGAUUGCGUCGACACAGUUCUGGAAUAUCUCCAGUGAGAGACUGCAGUAUGUUCCAGUGCUCAGUCACUGCACAGAAAAGAAAAGAAGUUCUUCCUCAUAUUCGGGUGGAACUUUUUGGCCAUCAGCUUCUGCCUGCUGCCCCUUGUCCCAUUCUUGGGGCCCGCGGAGCAGAGCCCGGCCACGCUCUGACCCCUCCCUGAAGACACUGACAGACAGGGGGUGAGGUCCUCUCUCGGCGCCUCCUCUCAAGGCUGAACAGACCCAGCUCCCUCAGCCCUUCGCCGGCAGAGAGACGCUCCAGUCCUAGAUCAACUUUGUAUCUCUAAACCCUGUCAAAGCAGCCUUCAUCCACUGGAGGUCCUUCAUCCCCAAUGAAGCUUCUUCUGGUCUAGGAUCAAAUUUUCGGCAUCAAACGCAUCAAAGUUAACAAGCCCCUGAUUGCAGAGUAUAAAUCCUGAGCAGCAGCCUGACCGAGGCUGGACCACUGCGAUCACAUGAAAGUUAAAUCCAUUUAGGAAAAAAAGGUGCAGGGCAACCGUCGUAUUUCAGAGCUUUAAAAGUUCUGCACCCUAGACCGUCACUGG